rnacentral:rRNA from 1 species
AUGGCAUCCCAGCUGGUCUCACUCAUGAAGCGACUGUGGAGCUAUCUUCCCUCUUCUCUUAGCAGUUCCAGGAGCGACCCUCCGCAGCAGAUUCCUGAUCCUACCGGUGACGGUGAUCAUCCUCCAGACGCUCAAGCCGGGCACACUCCCCCCGUUCAGCAGCCUUCACCCCCUCUUCCAGUUUCAGAUCUUGAGCACCUCCCAAGUUCUAACCACAUAGAAUGCCUUGAUGGUGCACUUGAGCCCGAUCUGGCCGGCAACAUGAAGCUCGGCAGUUCCACCAGUUUCCCACGACACAAAAUUUAUGAUCCUGACGGCGGCAAUUAA